AACUUAUUACAUCUGGUUCUAAUAUCACCAGAAAUAAAAUUGAACGCGGUGGCAAUAUUGUAAUUAUGGUGAAAAUUAUCUAAAAUAAAUAUAUAUCUGGCCAUAUAUAGAGUCAGAUGUAAGACGUCAUGUUGAGUAAAAAAAAAAAAAACUUUUUUGGACAAACUGUUAAGUGAGAAAAACACUCAAGCGUACGAUUCAUACACACUCUUCGCCAACAAACCCUCAAGAACAGUCAAGAACAGUCACGCGAUUUUCCCAAAUCAUCAAGAACAACAAACCCUCAAUUCCUCUCUCGAUUCGAAACUCUCUCAAUCACGACAAUCCCUCACUCUCACUCGUCCUCUCUCAUUCGUUCUCUCAAUUUCGUCAUCUCUCGGUGGUUCACGAACCCUAGGUCCCAAAUCGAAGGUGGGUGAAACAAAUUAAAGCUUCUCUCAGAUCGUUCUUCUCCCUACAACUGAAAACACAAACAGGCUGUAGUUUGUCCUGCCUUGCUUCUCAUGUACUAGUUUUGGAGAAAGCCUAAUAAUAUUAACACAAUAAAAGUGUUUUUUCUACUAGUGUUUGCUAACAGGGGUCAUAUGGUUUUUGAUCCAGUCAUUGACUAAUAGCAUCUCUUCAACAAGGUUUGUCUUCUACAUUUACUCUAGUAUAAUCAGUCACCAUGACUCUUUUUUUCAGGUAGUAGUUUGAUUUUGUUAUGCCUCUUUGAUUUCAGCUUGUAGGACUAGGUUUUGAUGCAAUUUUAGCUUUCAUAUUCACUAAUGUAUAACACUAAGGCUCUGCAGCUUUUUUCUGUUUUUUUAGUUAGUUUUAGACUCUUUUUUUUUAGAAGAAAAUUAAGGGUUGUUUAAGAACAAGUGGAGUGGCAGCAAAUGCUGCGUUUCUGUUACUGAACAGCUCGUCUAGUGAGAAGCAUCAUCGCCUAGCGAGGACAGCAGCAUGCUCUGCCUCUGUAUGUGGCUUCAAGUUUUCCUUUACAAUAACUCAAAAUGGUGGCUUAAUUUUGUUGGAAUGCGAUCAUAUCAGAUGCAGGUUGACCUUCUACUUGAGGUUCUUAAUAUUGUGUCUGGUUUUGGUCCAACUUCUGGUUCAGCUCUUACCAGCCAUAUGAAUGUUGACAAGUGUAGGUUGCUUAAUUUGUAUCUGUUAUUGAUCCAGGUAUCUUUUCACAUUCUUUUCACAAAACUCGUCUGGUACUUGGUGUUUUAGUUUUUGUUGGAUGAUCAUUGGAUCCAACUGAAUGAUUUAUUUUUUGUCUGGAAGUUGACUUGGUUAAGGACGACAUCAAAAUCAUAGACAUCCCUGUGCACUUGGUUAAGGUAUAUUCAACAAUGGAGUUUCUUUAUGAUGUUUUUGUGUGUGUCUGUAUUCAGCAACGGAGUUCAUUUAUGAUAUCUACUUAAUCCGGUACAUGUAUAAAAAAAACCUUAGUCAUCUCAUGUACUAGUUUAUCCAAAAUUCUCUUAAUCCAGUACAUGUACAUUAUGAUGUUUUGAAUUGUAAUGACUUGUAUUUGUAUUUUGCAUCAAAAUCCAGUACACCGUCGGAUCUCCUAUUAGCAAGGACACAUAGCAGGAACCAGUUCAAGUGAUAUUAUUAUUGUUAAUUUUUUUUUUUAUGGUGUUUUGGUUUGAUGGUGUGCUUUGUGACAGUUUUAGUUGAUGUUAGUUUUAUUGUUCUGUUAUUUAUAAGCCUAAGAAAAAUUAAGAACUCUCAAUCUCUCAUAUUUACAUUUAAAGAAAAAUAUGGUAUAAAAAAAUGUCAACCAGCUUUGGAUUAUGAAAAAAGAUGUUUCUCAUUAUUGUGUUUCAUUCAUUUUUGUAUUUCAUAUCAU